CUCGGCGCCCUCUUUCGCCGCGCCUGGCCGGCGCCCUGUGCUCGGCCCGCGCCUCCUUUUGGGUGCCAUGGGUCGGCGUCGGGGUCUGGGGCACGGGACUGCACCUGGCCAGCUUCCCUUCCCAGCUGGCCAGCACGGCGGGAGCGGAAGGAGAUCCACCCGGAAUUUCGCUCUUGCUCUUCUUGCCGUUGAGGUUGUGGCAACAUCAUCAUCGCCUCAUUGAAUUCACUCUUGGCUAGAUACGUGAGCACCACAUUCAGGUGCCAGGAGCCAGCGGCCCGGCCUCGGGUUCUCUUAGCUGCCUCGGGAAGAGCCGGGUCCAGACCGCCUUUGACGUGAACGUCCAUGUACGUCUCUUUUGGUCCUGUCACCGUUGGUCCAGGUCUGUCUACAUUGGCUGUAAUAUGGACAGAUGCAGGGUUUGUUGGCUUGUAACUUUGUGAGGAGCACGGUUUAGGAAACCACUCUGGUGGGAAGGCUUGUGUUGAAAACUCUCAGGAGGCCGAUUUCAGAGCCGCGGUGAUUCACUCAUAUCGCUGGACUUGCUCGAGUUCACUGCACCUGCGUGAAAGGGGUGGCAGAGCCUCGUAAAACUAGGAACACAACCGAGGCAGUUUUCUCCUUGGAAAAAAUGUAUUUUAUAAAUAAAAAUAAAAUGACAAGCUUCAA